CACGUAGGGUGCAAGCGUUAAUCGGAAUUACUGGGCGUAAAGCGCGCGUAGGCGGUUCGUUAAGUCUGUUGUGAAAGCCCCGGGCUCAACCUGGGAAUGGCAAUGGAUACUGGCGAGCUAGAGUGUGUCAGAGGAUGGUGGAAUUCCCGGUGUAGCGGUGAAAUGCGUAGAGAUCGGGAGGAACAUCAGUGGCGAAGGCGGCCAUCUGGGACAACACUGACGCUGAGGCACGAAAGCGUGGGGAGCAAACAGG
rnacentral:rRNA from 1 species